CUGCUGCCUUCCGUAGGAGUCUGGUCCGUGUCUCAGUACCAGUGUGGGGGACCUUCCUCUCAGAACCCCUAGACAUCGUCGCCUUGGUGGGCCGUUACCCCGCCAACUAGCUAAUGUCACGCAUGCCCAUCCGUCUCCGGAGUCGCCUCCUUUGGCCGAAAGAAGAUGCCUCCCCUCGGCCACAUGCGGUAUUAGGCCGGAUUUCUCCGGGUUAUCCCGCUGAAACGGGCAGGUUGCAUACGCGUUACUCACCCGUGCGCCGGUCGCCCGG
rnacentral:rRNA from 1 species